GGCGCCGUCGUGUCCCCGGCGAGCAGGGAGUCAGCGACCCGGCGGACUGUCGAGCGCCGCUUCGGGGUUUCUUGAACGUCGUGCAGCGAAGAUGGGGAGCCCCGAAAACGGCUGAAGGGGGGAGCGCAGGCGUAUUCGGGCCGGUCUAACGCCAAGCGUCUCCGGGGCCCAAACGCACGUGAUGGGCAACGGGGAAAGCAGGUUCUGGAGGGUGAAUGGUGCGACCGCGCUGCCCUGGCCCAGGAGCCCCUGGAAGAUGAAAAAGGUUAUCUAACGGGAAACCGUGCCAUUACUAGCGGCAAUCGCAGCACCUGUUAAGAAGUCUGCCAAUAAGACAAGGACUACAAUUUCUAGAGAGGGUGGAGGUGUACGUUUUGAUAAAGCUGGAGUCCAUUUUGACGUUUCAUUUCUGCAGCCUGCAUCUCUGAGCCUUACGGGUGGAGGCGAGAGCGCAGGUUGCUCCUCGUCUCAGGCCCUGAACAGGAGUGCUUGCGCAAGGAACCUGCUACCUACCUUCUCCUCCCUCGAAGGGCAGCUCGCGCUGUCCUCCAGGGAUCUGCUAUCCGCUAGAAAAUUUUGAGUGGUCCUUAAGUCAAAAAGAGUCGAAAGCCACUGCUACAGCAGGAAAAGUAAAUGGACUCUGAAUUUCACUGAGAUGCACAAGUGCCUGAAGUUGGAUGGAAUAAAUUCCGGAUUAUAUCUAACUUUUUAGACUGGAAAAAUGUUGUCAUAUCCACCUCAGUCUUUAUAAUCUGCUUCUCCUUCUGUGAUACUAAAGAUUUUAAUGUAUCUUUCUUUA